UACGUAGGGUGCGAGCGUUAAUCGGAAUUACUGGGCGUAAAGCGUGCGCAGGCGGUUUUGUAAGACAGGUGUGAAAUCCCCGGGCUUAACCUGGGAACUGCGCUUGUGACUGCAAGACUUGAGUGCGGCAGAGGGGGGUGGAAUUCCACGUGUAGCAGUGAAAUGCGUAGAGAUGUGGAGGAACACCGAUGGCGAAGGCAGCCCCCUGGGUCGACACUGACGCUCAUGCACGAAAGCGUGGGGGGCAAACAGG
rnacentral:rRNA from 1 species